ensembl:lncRNA
GAAUACUCUCACACCUGCCACACCAUCGAACAGCUGUUGCACUGUUCUGUGAAAUACCUCUGGUGCCGAAAAGAUACCAAAAGGCUUGAUUGCAUGUCCAGGGGAUUCCAGUGGUUUUAACUGAAGCCUAACAAAAAUCAAGCAAGUAACUAAGAGAAGUGUCAUCGCAGAAGAAAUGGCAGAAGUGCCUCAGACACCUAUGAACACCAAGCAGUGAACAUCAUCUUUAUUAUACUUCUCUGACUGGACUAGCAAGGAGUAGUUAGAGUCCAUGAGAAAAACUCAAAAGAAAAUACUUUGAAGAAAGCAGUUUGCCUUGAAGCAAGUAUCAUAAACAGUCUCCUUACCGAAGUCUCCUUCAUCCAGAUGAGACUUCCAGUCAGUGCCAGCACAAAGACCGUCAGUACACCUACAAGGACCUGGAGGAGAGUGUAGGAGCAGACCCGAUGCCUGACCUGGUGGCUGCUCACAGCAGCCCUCAGAGAUUCCUCAGAGGUUUCCACAUCACAGAUGAAGGGAGCUGUUGCCAUGCUGAAUGAAUGAGUGAGCAAGGUGCUGAAUGAGCAUCUCCCUGUAGUCCUGGCCUCUUUUUAUGCCAGGGAUCUGCCCACUCAAGAGAGUUCCCUUACUGAAACUAGACAAAAAGCAGCAUGCUGCUAUGGCAUGAUUCCAAUGUGUUGGGACAACACAGAGAGAGGGAGUUGGGAUUACCCACACACCCACGCA